rnacentral:rRNA from 1 species
UACGUAGGCAGCGAGCGUUGUUCGGAGGUACUGGGCGUAAAGGGUGUGUAGGCGGUUGUUUAAGUUUGGCGUGAAAUCUCCCGGCUCAACUGGGAGGGUGCGUCGAAUACUGAAUGACUUGGAGUGCGGGAGAGGAAAGUGGAAUUCCUGGUGUAGCGGUGAAAUGCGUAGAUAUCAGGAGGAACACCGGUGGUGUAGACGGCUUUCUGGACCGUAACUGACGCUGAGACACGAAAGCGUGGGUAGCAAACAGG